AUGCGGCGGGACAUGGAAAAACUAGUUGUCUUCUCUCCAGAAGUAGUGCUCUCACUCUUGCUCUGCUUUUUCGUGUUCGUGCUAAGCCGCUACUACGUCUCAAGGCGACCAGCGAACAAUGGACGUCUCCCGCCGUCGCCUCCGAAGCUCCCUCUCAUAGGUCACCUGCACCUCGUCGGCCCCAACCCACACGUCUCCCUAGCCGACCUCGCCAGCAAGCAUGGCGGCUGCGACGGCCUCAUGCUCCUCCACCUCGGCCACGUGCCCAACCUCGUCGUCUCCUCCCCGAGCGGCGCGGAGGCCGUCAUGCGCACGCACGACCACGUCUUCGCCUCCCGGCCGCUGUCCGCCGCCGCCGCCGUCCUCCUCAACGGCCCCUCAGACAUCUCCCUCGCCCCCUACGGCGAGUUCUGGCGCCAGGCUCGGAAGCUGGUCACCACCCACCUGCUCAGCGCCACCAAGGUGCGCGCGUUCCAAGGAUCCCGUGAGGAGGAGGUGGGCCUCGUGGUCGCCAAGAUCCGCGCCGCCGCUGCCGCGCACUCCGCCGUCGACAUGACCCAUCUGCUCGGCACCUUCACUAACGACGUCGUGUGCCGCGCCGUGUCCGGAAAGUUCUUCAGGGAGGAGGGCAGGAACGAGGUGUUCCGGGAGCUCAUCGCCCUCAACACGGCCGUCACCGCGGGUUUCAACGCGGUGGACUACUUCCCGAGCUUGGCCAAGGUCCCUCUGCUCCAGCGGGUGCUGCUGGCCAAGACCAGCAGGCUGAAGAAGAGGUGGGAUGAGUUGCUUGACAAGAUCACAGAGGACCACGCAACCAGAUCAGCAUCGCUGCCGGUACAAGAUGAGCAAGACAGAGACAUGGUAGAUGUUCUCCUCUCUCUUCAGCACGAGUACAAUCUCACCACAGACAACCUCAGGGGCAUCUUGAUGGACAUGUUUGAAGCUGGCACAGACACGUCAUACGUCACCCUGGAGUUCGCCAUGGCGGAGCUCAUAAGGAAGCCACGCCUCAUGGCCAAACUCCGAGACGAGGUGAGGAGCAAGACACCCGGGACCCAGCAGAUGGUGAAGGCGGACGACCUGGGCGGCAUGUACUACCUAAAGGCAGUCGUGAAGGAGACCCUCCGGCUGCAUCCGCCAGCGCCGCUUCUCCUACCACGCCUCUCCAUGGCCGACUGCGACGACGUCAACGGUUACACGGUCCCGGCUGGGACACAAGUCAUCGUCAACGCGUGGGCUCUCGGCAGAGACACGGGGUCAUGGGGGGAAAAGGCGGACGAGUUCUCGCCGGAGAGGUUCGUGGAAGGCGGGGCCAGCGCAGCCGCGGACUUCAAAGGGAGGGAUUUCCACUUCCUGCCGUUUGGAGCCGGGCGGAGGGUGUGCCCCGGGAUAGGAUUCGGGAUAGCCACCGUCGAGGUCAUGCUCGCCAACCUCGUCUACUGCUUCGACUGGGAGCUCCCUCACGGGAUGCGGGAGGAGGAUGUGGAUAUGACGGAGGAGUUUGGACUGACGACGCGCCUCAAGGAGAAGCUCCUUCUCGUCCCCACAAUACCACCACAACAUGCGCACCAUACCAGCUAG
rnacentral:rRNA from 1 species